ensembl:lncRNA
CGGAGGACAGGAGCCCGCGAUCAGCGUCGCUGAGAAGAAACCCAGCGCGGGCAGGGCCGGCUGCCUGCAGAGGUCUGGGGAGGAGCGGCCGCAUGCUGCUGGCGGCCAUCCUCCUUCGGCCACAGCACUCGGCUCUGCCUUCCGGCCACGUGGUCGCGUCUUCGCCGCGUUACUGGCGCCCGACAGGGAAGCAGGCAGACGAGCCCCUCGGCAGGAGAUAACGGCAGCCACCCCGACACAGGCUCCGAGUCCCGACACGCGACGGCACACCCUCGGCGGCGCCCGUGCAACCUUCGCGGGACCCGGAGCAGGCGGCUCCACGCUGGAGUCACCGAGAGCCUCUUGCGGAGACUGAGGGGAAGGGGCUGGAGCACGCAGACGCGGCGGGGAAGACCCAGAGGGUCGGAGUCCCGAGAGGGGGUGCGCCAGGCCUUCCUCGUCCUGAACUCGGGGCGGGAGAGCACAGAGCCCCAGGGAGAGCGCCGCAGGCUCCGGCUUGACAGAGGCGGAAAAAGCCCGCGUAGCAGAGACAAGCAAGGAGGCCGACCGCAGACGGAGCGGAGCCCACACUGAGGGAGGCGGGCAGAGCCGAGUUCAGACGGAGAGGGGCGGAGAGGGCCGAGUACAGACAAAAAAGGCCAGAGAGAGCCGGGUCCAGGCAGAGCCCGAGGGAGAAAGCCGAGUCCAGCCGGAGAGAGCCGAGAACAGGCGGGAAGAGGCGGAGAAAGCCGGGACCAGACGGAAAAGGGCGGAGAGAGCCGGGUUGAGACGGAGAGGGGCGGAGAGAACCGAGUCCAGAGAACCACAAGGAGAAAGUCAGGUCCAGAAAGAGAACGCCGAGUAUAAACGGAGAGAGCCGAAAGUAGACGGAGAAAGCUGAGUAUAGACAAAAAAGGCCGGAGACAGCCGGGUCCAGACAGAGCCAGAAAGAGAAACCUGAGUCCAGACGGAGAGAGCCGAGUGUAGACGGAGAGACCCGAAUAUAGACGGACAGGGAGGGGAGAGCCGAGUAUAGACAGAAAAGGGCGGAGAGAGCCCGGUCCAGAGCCAGAAGGAAAAAGCCGAAUGUAGACGGAGAGAGCCGAGUAUAGACGGAGAGAGAAGGAGACUGCCGAGUUCAGAUGGAGCGGUGCAGAGAGGGCCAAGUAUAGACGGAAAAGGCAGAAGAGAGACGGGUUCAGACAGAGCCAGAAGGAGAAAGCCCAGUAUAGACGGAGAAAGCCGAAUGUAGACGGGGAGAGCCGAGUACAGACGGAGAGGGGCGGAGACAGCCGGGCCCAGGCGGAGAGCGCCGAGUUCAGGAGGGGGGGGCGGAGAGCGCGGAGUCCAGACGGAGAGAGGCGGAGAAGGCCGAGUAUAGACGGAAAGGGACGGAGACAGCCGAGUCCAGAUUGCGAGGGGCGGAGAAAGCUGAGUCCGUGGCUUAAGGCUCUUGCAUUGUGAGGGAGAAGGGUCGAGGCAGUGUGGGGGUUUCAUGCCUUACGCACACAGCUCGUUCCCUCUUGCAUGCCUGUAUUACUGAGGGCACUUUCCCUUUUCUCUACCCGUUUUCAUCCUGUAAGCACCUGGUGAGUGAUUGAAAGCCCCCUCCCUCUCAUGUCCAGGACCCCAAGCUAUUCCAGUCUGACACACCAACCCAAACUUGGCCUCCAAAAAUUCAUUAACAUUUUGGUGGAUUUCUUCCUACCCGCUUGUGCGACGUCGUCCCCAUCUGCAUGCUCUUUGCCACAGCCAAGCCUGCUUCCUCUCCCCGCUCUCCUUGGAGGGGUGUGUUCCUCCCGGGAUUUCAGGCUGUUUCACAGCUCUGUAACAUCAGCAUCUCAUGAGUAAGGAAAGUUUGCCUUGUGGUUUAUCUUACUUUUUCUUGUUGUUAGGGCAACACUCUUUCCAGCUUUCUACAUCCUUGGUGGAAGUGGAAAUCUCAAUUUCCUAAUCGUUUUCCUUUGGUGAAGUGUACUCAUGCCUGAAAAUAUCUUCCAUGUUAUAAAGAUACUUGUGAAUGAGGUUCACAUCCAGUCGUGACUUGUCAUCAAUAGAACUGAAGUUGUUUACAACAGUAAUUACUUAAUAUCUAAUGAACAUCUACUGUAUGCUAGCUCUGAUUAAAUUGAGGAAAUAUAUCUUGAUGACUUUUUUAACCAGUUAUGCUGACUCCCAUGGGUAGACAAAAAGGAUGUUUCAUUGUUUGAUUAUUUUGCUUGCUUCUUGUUUGUUUUUAUUUUAACCUAGGUAAAAAGCAGAGCUUGAAAGGCUGAAGAAUGUUCAAAAUUGGAGUUAACAUUGGGUCACUGCUCAGUUCCCUUGGAUCAGUGACAGGCUUUAAGGUCAAAUUCUGCAGAAUGGUAGUAAGGAGUAAAAAUAUCUCUGUUGGAGCAAGACUUUCUCCAAGACACGCCUGUGUCCCUGGGAGAAAAAAGUAUUUUAUUAAUUGAUUUUUGUUAAAACUGUUGAAGGAAAAUGAAAGUUGUUAACAUACAGAGUUCUGUUCUUUGUCCACUAGGAAUGGCUGAGACCUGGAGCCUGCUGUUUUCAGGUCACCCAUCAAGUGAGAACAGAAAAUGUUUUGCAUCAAACCUUUGUGGGCUCAAAAACCCUUUACUGUCGUGUAAGACAGAGGACAGCAAUGGUUAACACAGUUGUUCCAUGAAACCAAGAAAAUCUAAUAGUUAAAUAACGGACUUCCUUCCAGAGAGCCCAGCAUCAUUUGUUAGUAGAUGAAAUAACAGGUGGCACAUAUGACUCUGAGGGGAAUGAGCUCAAUCGCGACACUUCGUAUGAAUAACAUUCACUGUACAUGUUGAAGGACUAGUUCUGGGAGGAUUGAUACCUUCUGGGAAUUGGGACAGUUGAUGGUGAAGUAUCCGAGCCAGUGGGUGGGGCUGUGGCCCACGGGAUCAACGUGAAACACACCCUCCUGGCUCCUUGGCUUUUACUCUCUGUAAACAGAGACCCUAAGACACACGUCCUUGGCCCUGCUUUCACAUCCUCGCAGGAGCCAGUACCCAGAGCAACUGCAAGCCUUGAGAACAUAACAGGAAAUCUGACCGAUAGAGUGAAAUUUUGUGAAACCAUAUACAGAAGGACUAAAUUCAAGAAAUUGUAUGUUUGAUACUUUUUGAAGAGAAGCAAAAUUAUUUCUUAUUAAGGGCUUACAAAUGGAACCAAAACAAUUAGUAAUGAACUGAAAGAGAAGAUAAAUAUUGUUCAUAAAUAAAAUCAUUAAAGUUGAGUAUAUAAUACUUCUAUUUUGCUGAAUGAAGAUGUAAAUAUAUGAUGAUGAUACAUAUUGUAUAUGUAAAUCUAGAUUGAGGAUACAUACUGUACAUAUAAAUAUGCAAUAACUGCAUAGGACAUCACUUUAGAAGCAAUCCGUGCUUGAAGAAAUACAAAGUGAUAAGGAAAAUGUAAAUCGGAGGGAUAUACAAGUGAAGAUUGGGCAUAAGCUUGUUUUUGGAAAAAAAAAGGAGACCACAAAAGUUAUCUUUUAAAAUAUUGUCUCGGGGCUGGCCCCGUGGCCGAGUGGUUAAGUUUGUGCACUCCGCUGCAGGCGGCCCAGUGUUUCGUUGGUUCGAAUCAAACCACGCUGAGGCAGCGUCCCACAUGCCACAACUGGAAGGACCUACAACAAAGAAUAUACAACUAUGUACCGGGGGGUUUUGGGGAGAAAAAGGAAAAAAAUAAAAUCUAAAAUAUUGUCUCUUCUACAUUCUGUUUAUUCUUUAU